rnacentral:misc_RNA from 1 species
AAGCUACUGGGGGAGCCGAAGCUCCCCCUAAGUAAUGCUUUCUUUGUUUUUAUUAUUAUGUCGGCUUGUUAUUUUUGUUGUCCGACCCGUUCCUCGAGGCCAGGGGCCUGAGGACGGACUCCCACUCUGGGAGCUAAUAGCAAACGGAUUACUUUGGACGCUGACGCUGCCAUGACCUUGCGAUCCAACCAGUCCGACGCUGCCUCUAGGCAGUU